rnacentral:rRNA from 1 species
GUGUCAGCAGCCGCGGUAAUACGAAGGGGGCUAGCGUUGCUCGGAAUCACUGGGCGUAAAGGGCGCGUAGGCGGCCGAUUAAGUCGGGGGUGAAAGCCUGUGGCUCAACCACAGAAUUGCCUUCGAUACUGGUUGGCUUGAGACCGGAAGAGGACAGCGGAACUGCGAGUGUAGAGGUGAAAUUCGUAGAUAUUCGCAAGAACACCAGGGGCGAAGGCGGCUGUCUGGUCCGGUUCUGACGCUGAGACGCGA